UGGGAACCGUGUCCUCUGCUGCC
rnacentral:piRNA from 1 species